rnacentral:rRNA from 1 species
AGAUUGAACGCUGGCGGCAGGCCUAACACAUGCAAGUCGAGCGGUAGAGAGGUGCUUGCAUCUCUUGAGAGCGGCGGACGGGUGAGUAAUGCCUAGGAAUCUGCCUAGUGGUGGGGGAUAACGUUCGGAAACGGACGCUAAUACCGCAUACGUCCUACGGGAGAAAGCCGGGGGACCUUCGGGCCUCGCGCCAUUAGAUGAGCCUAGGUCGGAUUAGCUAGUUGGUGAGGUAAUGGCUCACCAAGGCGACGAUCCGUAACUGGUCUGAGAGGAUGAUCAGUCACACUGGAACUGAGACACGGU